GCCCAUGUAGCUCAGGUGGUUAGAGCGCGUCCUUGGUAAGGACGAGGUCAGCGGUUCAAUUCCGCUCGUGGGCUCCA
rnacentral:tRNA from 1 species